rnacentral:rRNA from 1 species
GAUGAACGCUGGCGGCGUGCCUAAUACGUGCAAGUCGAGCGAACAGAUGAGGAGCUUGCUCCUCUGACGUUAGCGGCGGACGGGUGAGUAACACGUGGAUAACCUACCUAUAAGACUGGGAUAACUUCGGGAAACCGGAGCUAAUACCGGAUAAUAUAUUGAACCGCAUGGUUCAAUAGUGAAAGACGGUUUUGCUGUCACUUAUAGAUGGAUCCGCGCCGCAUUAGCUAGUUGGUAAGGUAACGGCUUACCAAGGCAACGAUGCGUAGCCGACCUGAGAGGGUGAUCAGCCACACUGGAACUGAGACACGGUCCAGACUCCUACGGGAGGCAGCAGUAGGGAAUCUUCCGCAAUGGGCGAAAGCCUGACGGAGCAACGCCGCGUGAGUGAUGAAGGUCUUCGGAUCGUAAAACUCUGUUAUUAGGGAAGAACAAAUGUGUAAGUAACUAUGCACGUCUUGACGGUACCUAAUCAGAAAGCCACGGCUAACUACGUG